GAUGAACGCUGGCGGUAUGCUUAACACAUGCAAGUCGAACGGACUCUUCGGAGUUAGUGGCGGACGGGUGAGUAACGCGUGAGAAUCUGGCUUUGGGUUCGGGACAACCACUGGAAACGGUGGCUAAUACCGGAUGUGCCGAGAGGUAAAAGAGAAAUUGCCUGAAGAUGAGCUCGCGUCUGAUUAGCUAGUUGGUGAGGUAAAGGCUCACCAAGGCAGCGAUCAGUAGCUGGUCUGAGAGGAUGACCAGCCACACUGGGACUGAGACACGGCCCAGACUCCUACGGGAGGCAGCAGUGGGGAAUUUUACGCAAUGGGCGAAAGCCUGGCGGAGCAAUACCGCGUGAGGGAAGGAGGCUCUUGGGUUGUAAACCUCUUUUCUUAGGGAAGAACAAAAUGACGGUACCUAAGGAAUCAGCAUCGGCUAACUCCGUG
rnacentral:rRNA from 1 species